rnacentral:rRNA from 1 species
AUUGAACGCUGGCGGCAGGCCUAACACAUGCAGGUCGAGCGGAUGAAGGGAGCUUGCUCCUGGAUUCAGCGGCGGACGGGUGAGUAAUGCCUAGGAAUCUGCCUGGUAGUGGGGGAUAACGUCCGGAAACGGGCGCUAAUACCGCAUACGCCCUGAGGGAGAAAGUGGGGGAUCUUCGGACCUCACGCUAUCAGAUGAGCCUAGGUCGGAUUAGCUAGUUGGUGGGGUAAAGGCCUACCAAGGCGACGAUCCGUAACUGGUCUGAGAGGAUGAUCAGUCACACUGGAACUGAGACACGGUCCAGACUCCUACGGGAGGCAGCAGUGGGGAAUAUUGGACAAUGGGCGAAAGCCUGAUCCAGCCACGCCGCGUGUGUGAAGAAGGUCUUCGGAUUGUAAAGCACUUUAAGUUGGGAGGAAGGGCAGUAAGUUAAUACCUUGCUGUUUUGACGUUACCAACAGAAUAAGCACCGGCUAACUUCGUG